CUAUAUCUUUCCAAACAGGGCAGAGGAAGGCAGGAGCUGGGGAGUGACUGGAGUUUGAUUCAGUCCCUUCUCUGCAUGGAGACAGAAACCCCAGAGUAACAGUGGCAGAUAAGAGCUGGAGAAAAGAAACUAACUGGUAAGGAAAUAUUUUCUUUCCUUUCCUCUGCUCAAUCCAUUUGCUCCAUCUCCGUUUCCCCCACAUACCACACAGAGCAGACACCUUAAACUUGGUCCUCUCCUUCCUCUUUCCCCUCCCAACCAUUGCCAUUUUGGCAGGAGCUAGGGAGAGCAGAAGCAAUGGUCAGUAAUUACAUCCUCCUUUACUUGGAUACGACCAUUUUCAGGUUGAUGCAUCCCACCAUAUAAUGCUGGGCUUUGAAGAAGCAGAUACCUUGCCUGGGUUUGUCUUCUACUUGCCUACUUCCGUCUGCCCCCCACCUCAUUCCUCUGCCCUAUGCCCUCUUCUUGCUUUAUUCAUCCUACUUCUAUCCCCAGCCUAAAGGCAGGGUAAGUCAUGUUGUUAGCAAUUCCUGAUUAUUAUCAUGAUGGUUUUACGUAGAUUCUAACAUUUAGCCUAUUCUUAUAUCACCUUUACUCAUCUAUCUACUGUGAUCACAUAUCAGAAAAGAUUGGAAACUUUUAAGAGCGUAUACUGUUCUUUUCAUACUUGCACGGAGUAUGAUCGAGCCCCGGUCCUGGUUUGAGGACUAUACCAGUGUUGCCAACUGUCAUGAUUAUUGGCGUUGUUCUAAAGUCUACCAUUUGGGAAUGUGAACAACUUAGCUCUUUCUUUUAUAUAUAUAUGUAUGCAUAAAAGAAAUAGCUACAUUUUUCACGUUUCUGAAGCUUAGACGUUAAGAACAGUGCCAAAAAUCAUGAGAUGGCAACACUGCUAUACUGUAAAAACAUUUCCCCCUAUUUUUCAGAUGAGGAAAUGGAGGCACAUAUGGUGGCAUACCUGAGUUUAUACAAGGAGCUAAAGUUAGAGUAGAGCUCAAGUUAGAGCCCAGUUCACUAGGCUUCCCAAACCAACUCUAAGUAUGAAAUAGUUCUGCUUGCAGUAGGGUUGAAGUGAUGCUGUAGCCAAGAUGGUCCAGGAAAUGUAAAGCAAGGAUUUAUAAUCUAAAGAAGAAUGCAAUUGAUUUGAAAGCUUGUGUGCCCCAGCCAUGCAGUUGGUUCAGUGAAGGAUAUCGCCCACAUAGAUCCUUGCCUCCGCUGGCCUCUGCUUGCAGUAAUAAUUAUUAGCAGUUAGAGUCCUUACAUGACUAGAACUCCAAGCUGUGUAAAAGAAACAGGCACUUCUCAUUCCUAGAAAGGAUACAUUGUCAAGGAUUUUAACAUCAAUUAGAAGGCUAGUGCAAUAAGCUUUGCUUUGAAUUGUUAAGAUAAGCUGUAGCUUUAAUAUCAACAGGGCCAGGAGAGAGGGUGGAAGAACACUGUCUAUGGAAUUGCCUCCAACUUUAUUCCUUUCUUUAAGUAAACUAUUUUUAUUUGCUUGGAGUCACCGCAGCUGUGCGCCGCCAACAACAACAAAUAUCCGCAAAGGUUUCUUCAAAUAAAUGGGUUUGGAUAAGGACUAAUCUAAUUCUCUAGACUUGUUUCCUCAGACCUUCCUUAACAUUGCAUGUGUAUGACAGGGAACUGUGCUGUGCUUCUGCAAGGCCAAGACAUGUGACGUGUUUGUGGACUGUGACCUGCUCCAGAAUGUCCAGGGCUUCUCCCUUGUGAUGCGAUAGAAUUCCCAGAGCCCCUCUGCCAAUCGCAGUGCUGCGGGCCAGGAAACGAGGACCGCUGGGUACUGGGACCUCAUUUCAACAUUGCUACCAGAAGUGGCUGUAAAAGCGGGCGAGUUCAGCUCGGUGAGAAACAGCACCUCCAUGCCUCAGGAUGAGGAGGGCCCAGAGAUGGCCUGUGUCUCAAAUGGCCCACCAGAAACUGAAUUAGGAACGGGAGACCUAGCAGAUCUCUGUAAGGCCUUGGAGAAGCUCCAUGAGCUCCCUGCAGGGGAGAAGGGUGAGAAGGCUUUUCUACGCUCCCGCCUCCAUGAGCAGUCUCAGCUCAUCUGCAUACUAAAGAAACGAGGCGAUGAAGCCCAAAUGCGUUGCAAGGCACUGGAACAGCUCAAUGUGGAACUGGAGGAGCUGAGGAUGAAGGAUGCUGCAAACCUGAAAAGCCAGACCCAGCGGGCUCAACAGCUGGAGGAGCGCUUUAUGGACCUGGCUGCCAACCACGAGGACAUGAUCUACUUCAAGGAUGAGCACAAGCGACAGAACAUGCAGCUGAGGGAGGAAAAUAAGCGUCUCAGAGAGGAGAACCAGAGUCUCUUCAGCCAGGCCCUUAGGGAGAAGGAGGCUGAGAUACUUCAGCUAGCUUCCCAGGAGAAGAUGGUCUCUCGAGAACUGGGUGCCUUAAAGGAGACCUGGGCUCAAGAGAGAGAGCGAGCUCGGGAGCGAGAGAAGGAGCUGCUUGAAGUUCAGAGCCAACAAGCCAGUGAUCAUGCCAGGGAAGUUCAUUCACUGAGAAGCCAGGUACAAACCCUGGAGAAGUACCAGCAAGUGAUUGCACAGCUGGAGCAGGCAGAAAAGCAGCAAAGAGUUGAGGGCAAUGAGUUGCAGGCCAAGCUGGACAGGGUGAGCCGGGAGAAGGAGGAAAUCUUGCUUUUGGCCAUGGACAGGGGCAAAAUGCUGCAGGAGAAGCAACGGGAGGUCCAGCAGCUGGAGAAGAAGUUGGAGGCUGCAGAGAAGGCUAAGCAAAUUGCAGACGAGCGCUUUGAGAGGCAAGCAGCAGUAGCAGAUAGCGGGGUGAGGGUCCAGGAGCUGCAGCGGUGGCUGGAGAGAAGUGAGCAGGCAUAUAAUGAGCUGCGGAUGCAGUUUGAAGCUUACAAGAAACACAGCAUGGACUUGCUCACUAAAGAAAAAAAGCUGAAUACCAAACUCCGCCACUUAGCUGCAUGAUCCUCACACCUCCAUUCCUCACCCAGUUCUCAGCAGAAAUAUCUACUGCUCCAGGUUUUUUUUUUGUGAUCUUACCUGAUUUCUGAUUACUGUGCCUGCUGUCUUAACAAUGGGCUGGUUUGUAGCUCACUUCUAGUAUGCUUCCAUGCUACAUAUUGGACAUCUCAGUCUAGAUGUGGCACUCUGAACCAGUAAAACAAUUUAUACUAAAUAAACCAGGAACCUAAGAGUGGAAGGUUUGUAAGUAUGACUUGGAUUCUUCUUUGGUCCUGUCUCUUCUCAUUGCUGCAGAACAUUCAAACCGUGUUAGUUGCUUCCCUAAAUGAAGGGCCGUUAUGAUGGCCCCAGAGAAAAUGCAAGCAAGAUUUGUUGAAUAUCUGAUAAUAGACAAAAUGUUUGUAUGUGGGAGAGAUGUUGACCACCUAUACACCUUAUAAACCAGGGGUACACAACCCCAGCCAACAAGCCAGAUCUAUCCCCUGGUACCAUGCAGUCAAGUCGUUGGAGCUCCCCACAGGUCCAGGGCCCCGCAUGCUAGAUCAGGUGCAAAGGGUAACAUUGGGCCCCAUCCUGGCACACAGAGGGUGGGCAGAAGUGGUGCAGGGCCAGACCCUGCCUGCAGACCAGUCCUAUACCAUUAAUCUGGCUCAGGGACGUAAAAGAUUGAGGCGUGAUGGGCAGUUCUUGUUUAAACCAUGCUUAAUCCAGGCCGUGGAUGAUUUAUUCUGCAUUUUGCUAACCUCAUGAUUUUUGUUCUCAGGCAGCAAAAUUUUGAAAACCUGCUUGGGAAAUUGAGGAACAAGAAAUCACAAACUGAAUUGUCUGGAGAACCUGAGUGUGAUGCUGGAGCAGAUGCUCUCAGUUGGUUGUAGGGGACUUGAUAGGAAGAGCACUGUUUUUGCUUUGACUGCCAGAGAUUUGAGCUGAAGAAUGCAUGCAGUUGCCUAGGUUCCUGUCCUAACCUUGGUUGUCAGCAGGGGUUAGACUAGCCUGCAAAGUUGGACUGUCCCUAGCCGAAAGGUAUGAAACAACCCUGAGAAAGAUGAAGGCUAAAUAUAAGAGGCAUUGCGCAACUAGCUGAGCCGAGAAGGGAGACUGAGGUUCCCAUGCCAAUUUCAACUCCAUUCUAGUAACUCCA